rfam:Tropilaelaps mercedesae isolate Wuxi-XJTLT scaffold0000002303, whole genome shotgun sequence.
CAAACGGCCCUUUUCAGGGCCACCGACCUUUACGAGGUUAAACAGU